AGUUAAAACAACUCUUCUUACUUAUUGUUAAGAUCUUCUCUAAUGAGAGAAUAUCUAUGUGAUAUAAGUACAUUUUGUUAAACGUACCUGCCGAAUGUCCACUUUGGACAAAUUGCAGAGAAAAAUGAAGAUAAAAAAAAAAAAGAAAAAAAGAACUUUUCAGAAUAACAUGGAGCUUUCCAUUUAGUUGGGACUUUUUAAUGCUUGAUAUCGACACUCGGCGAUGUCACUAGACUGGCGAUAAGUUUUUCUCAAUCGAAUGAAGCGUUUUUAGAUACUGCAAACGAUUAAAGAUUUUCGUGAGUCCGGGAAUACUUCAUCAUUUUCUGGAACAAAAGAAAGGCUGAAAGACUUUUUACACGUCAUUCGGCAAGAUGAUACAGGAAGAAGUAAAGACUGUGUGGUAUGUUCCACACGGAAAAUCAAAGAUAGAAGAAGAAAAUGAAGGUACUAUUGUGCUACUUGUCAACUAAACCGACCUUGCAUAUAGACAACUGCUUUAAUAUACCAUACUAUGCAAGAAUACAAAACGAGUCGUACAUAAACAUAGCAAAGCUGACGACGGUCGCUCGUUGGCAUUAAUUUUUGGGAAUACAUCAUGAUCACCAAACAAAUGUAAUACUUUUUUGCCACCAAUUUUCAACCUGAAGUGGUUGCUUGCAAAAAUUAUCUACUGCAACUUUAAUGACACUCAUAAUAGAAAACCGUUUAAAGUUGCUUGAAAAGUGAAAGAACGCAGUACUAGAGUGCUGACACGGUGGCCAGUCAGUUAAUUUUAUCUUCGAACACAAUGCUUGGAGAAUGAAGACAUAUUUACGAUUAAGAUGUUUAACGUGGCUGUUUUGUAA